UUAUAAUUUUACUUUCGUGGUCAUUUUUCUCUCUCUAAAAAACGCCAUCUGUGGCUUACCUUCCAUGGCGUCUUGAUAAUUUGCCACAAAGAGACAUUGGUGAAGUGGUUGAAGGAAUUGAAGGUGGGCUUGUGAGAAAAGGUGAGAUGGAUUUGGGUAGGAAAGAAGUCAGACAUUUUUUUCAAGUAUAUGGUGUAUGUAUAUAUCUAUAUCUGUCCCAUUGUUGUUGGUGUUACUACUGGUCAGAGGAUUGAUGACCGGCUGCUGCAGAGGCAAUGGAUGGACGGGACUGAACCAGAAUCGAAGAAAGGUAUCAGGGCUUAUAAAUCAAGCUUUCACAACGAGAACUGGGCUCAGACAAGGGUAGCGGUUUCGAAGCCAUGCGGCUUAAAUCAGAAUCUUGAUCCAUAGAAUAGGCUGACCAAUCCCCGAUUUCUGCUGUAAAUAUAGAGCUCUGCGCCGCGCACCACUUUCUUUUGCUUUUUGAGCAUGACUGUGCAAGCAAGAAUUUAAACAAGAAUUAGAAAGGGUUAUUUGGGGCCAACUGUUAUAGUAGCAGAGGGAUUAGAUUUGGUGCCACGCCCCUACUACUGUCCCCGUUCAUUACCAAAUGUCGACUAAAGGGACGGUGGUGGUGGUGGUGCGACAGGGAUGGUGGUCGCCGGAUCUACAGCAAAGAAAACGAACGAGGCAACAAGGGUUUGCGGUUUCGAAUUUUUAUUUUUUUGUGAUUCGGAUAAAUAGUGCUACAGUAAAGUUAUUUAGUAACAGGAAUUAUUUCCUACUUUCUACUUUCAAUUCUGAAAAGUAAAAUCACAUUUAUUAAAUUACUUUCAUUUUUUUAUUUUGAGGAAGUAAUUCCUAAAUUUUUCUACUUCCUGUACUGUGCGAAGGAAGUAAUUUCGACACUGUAGCGUUAAACAUGGUAGCAAAAGUAAGUAAAACCUAAAACCCGUCCUCUUGUUUUAUCAUCAUCUGCAACAUCCCAGCCCUAGCUUCUCGCCUCUUCAAGAAAGUUCUAUCAGGUGAUCGUCAUCCCUCAUCUGCGAGCAUCAAUAUCAGGUGAUCGUCAUCCUUCAUCUGCAAGCAUCGAUUGGCAACGGAGACUCAACGGCCGACCAACAACACUACGGUUGCAUCAAUAUGGGCCUCAAUUUCAUCUAUACUCGGUCCAAUACCCAGUCCCUAUGUAAUCACUUCUAUCCAGUUAUGCUCUUUUUGUCUUCAGUACCAUUUGCUUUCCGAAUUCUGAUUCAGUGAACAACAACGAAAUUUGUUUUCUCAGUGACCUUGAUUUCAUAGUCUUCUGGGUUUCAAUUUGGGUCUUCCAAUUCUUCAACUGUAAGUGUCGUCUCUAAAAGCUUGCUUUUUCUUCGAAUUGAUUGGUUCUGGUGUAUGUCGUCUCUAAAAGCUUGCUUUUUCUUGGAAUUGAUUGGUUCUGGUGAAUUGGGUUAUCUCUUUUCUUGAUGGGUACAUCAUCUGCACAGUACCCAUUUGGUAUCCGUGUCCAUUUCCAUGGAAAUUCUAGGGUUUCACCUUCUACAACGGAGUUCUUAAACUUCAAUUUUCUUUCCAAUGUAGAUUUUUCAAGAACAAAUUCGUACUUGAGUUCUGCUCCAACUAGUACUUCUAAGGUAUUUAAAGUUCGUUUCAUUUUCUGUUCUUUUAUUGCACAUAUGUCUUAUAUAUGGUUAAUUUUGAUUAUUUGAUUGUGCUUCAUGUUCGAAUUGAAGUAAAAGGUUCAUGCUUGCAAGGCUGUAUUGUUAAUUUGUUAUUCUAGAAUUUAUUUUACAAAUAAUGGCUUCAUCUGCUACUUUUUAAAGCUCUUUUUUUAGUUUUAAUUCAUGUUCAGGAUUUAUUCUGAUUUGGGUAAUAAUGAAAUUGCUUGAAAUUUAUAGACAACAUUUUCCUUUUUGCGACUCUGUUCCUUUUUUCCAUCCAUGCUUUAUAGCUAUUCAAGGUCGAAAGACACCUAUACUUGUAUUGAUUUACUCUAAAUCUGUGAUGAUGAGUAGUUUUAACAAAGAACUUUCCACAUUUGACAAUCAUUAUAUCUUCUUUUGGGAGUAAAUGAAAAUAAAAUCAAGGUUGUUUGCUUCUCAAAAUAUAACUAUGUGAGAUGGGUUUUGCUAUCUAUUAUGUAAUGUUGAUUUCUACAGGAACUAGUGUUUCAUCACAUGUUCAUUUUGUCCAUAUAUAAAGGCAGUAUGGUUUAUAACAUAAUGAAAAGCUUGCUUUUGCAAGUUUGACAGCUUAUAUAUAGUAAUUUUGAGACAAUUUGUUGGUUAAUAUAGCUAAACCUAGACCUUCAAUCAUCUAAAUAUUUAAUUCAUAUUAACAUCUAAAUUUUACCAUGAAGAGUUUUAAAAGUAAGUGUGCAAAAUGAGUGAAUAAUUUACUAUUUCUUCUGAUUUUUGAAGGUGGAUAAUUUAUUCAUCCUUCUAUUCAAGUCGAAAUUGAAGUCUACAUUAGGAACAGAAGCCUAGACGUUCUUCCAUCUUGAUGACAGUAUGUUAGCUCCAAGUAUCCAUACUACCCAUGAUUGGGUCUAAUCUUUAUUUGAGUGGAUGCUUCACUAACAAGUGUAGAACUAAGUUAAAAAGGUCUGAAAUUAAGCAUAUAAAAUAACAUAUACCAUCUUCAUCAAUCUUAUGCUGGCAAUUUGGUAAAACAUGGAUAAAUUUCAGAUUUUCUUAUAUUUGAACAGUCAUUCUAAACUUGAAUGGUGAGGCAAGCACAUAACCAAACAGCAUCAUUAUUGUGUUUAGUUACUGUAAUAUAGAUAUUUUGUUCCUUAUAUUAUUUUACAAUAUUAUAUGUUCAAUGCUAGGUUAUUUUAUUCGGAUCUAAUAAGUUGUAGAGGUGUGUUAAUUGUUGUACUGAGAAAUGUGAUAGAACGUUGUUUUGGUGUAUUAAAAAUGUGUUAGCCGAUCCUUAAGUUGAUGCCUCCUACAAACUGAGUGUACAAGCACUCAUCGUUAUUGCUUGUUGCACAUUACAUAAUUUUGUUCGUAACGAAACCCGUUUAGAUCGUCUUUUUGAUGAAUAUGGGGAUGAGAAUGCCAAUCUUCAAGAAGAAGAAGAAGAAGAAGAAGUGGAGCUAGGUGGUACUUCUCAGAGAGUAAAUGUUACACAGGAGCUAAUUCAUGAGUUGUGGAACAACUAUCGUGAUAGAUGAAUCACUUCUAUUUGCUCAUUAUAAUAUUAUAACUUUUAUUAGGAUUAUUUUUAUAUUUUUCAACUUGGAUAUUGUAAUAUUGUCACUUUGGAUUAAUUUUCUAUUUGGAUAUUGCAAUAUUGUCACUUUUAUUAAGAUUAAUUUUGUAUCUAAAUGCCAUUUGAAUUCAUGUUAUAA